rnacentral:piRNA from 1 species
UGAUUGUACUGUAAGCUUCAUCAGCAUA